rnacentral:rRNA from 1 species
AUACGGAGGGAGCAAGCGUUAUUCGGAAUCACUGGGCGUAAAGGACGCGUAGGCGGGUUUGUAAGUCAGGUGUGAAAUCCUACAGCUCAACUGUAGAACUGCACUUGAAACUACGGACCUAGAGUAUGGAAGGGGCAGAUGGAAUUAGUGGUGUAGGGGUAAAAUCCGUAGAUAUCACUAGGAAUACCGAAAGCGAAGGCGAUCUGCUGGGACAUUACUGACGCUGAGGCGUGAAAGCGUGGGGAGCAAACAGGAUUAGAAACCCCGGUAGUCC